rnacentral:rRNA from 2 species
AAAUUGAAGAGUUUGAUCAUGGCUCAGAUUGAACGCUGGCGGCAGGCCUAACACAUGCAAGUCGAACGGUAACAGGAAGAAGCUUGCUUCUUUGCUGACGAGUGGCGGACGGGUGAGUAAUGUCUGGGAA